CCUACGGGUGGCAGCAGUGAGGAAUAUUGGUCAAUGGGCGCGAGCCUGAACCAGCAAAGUAGCGUGAAGGAUGACUGCCCUACGGGUUGUAAACUUCUUUUAUAAAGGAAUAAAGUGAGGCACGUGUGCCUUUUUGUAUGUACUUUAUGAAUAAGGAUCGGCUAACUCAGUGCCAGCAGCCGCGGUACUACGGAGGGUCCGAGCGUUAUCCGGAUUUAUUGGGUUUAAAGGGAGCGUAGAUGGGUUGUUAUGUCAGUUGUGAAAGUCUGCGGCUCAACCGUCGAACUGCAUUUGAUACUGGACGCCUUGAGUACAGAACAGGCAGGCGGAAUUCGUGGUGUAGCGGUGAAAUGCAUAGAUAUCACGAAGAACCCCGAUUGCGAAGGCAGCCUACUAAACUGCCACUGACAUUGAGGCUCGAAAGUGCGGGUAUCAAACAGGAUUAGAUACCCUUGUAGUC
rnacentral:rRNA from 1 species